AUUGAACGCCGGCGGCAGGCCUAACACAUGCAAGUCAAGCGGAUGAAGGGAGCUUGCUCCUGGAUUCAGCGGCGGACGGGUGAGUAAUGCCUAGGAAUCUGCCUGGUAGUGGGGGAUAACGUCCGGAAACGGGCGCUAAUACCGCAUACGUCCUGAGGGAGAAAGUGGGGGAUCUUCGGACCUCACGCUAUCAGAUGAGCCUAGGUCGGAUUAGCUAGUUGGUGGGGUAAAGGCCUACCAAGGCGACGAUCCGUAACUGGUCUGAGAGGAUGAUCAGUCACACUGGAACUGAGACACGGUCCAGACUCCUACGGGAGGCAGCAGUGGGGAAUAUUGGACAAUGGGCGAAAGCCUGAUCCAGCCAUGCCGCGUGUGUGAAGAAGGUCUUCGGAUUGUAAAGCACUUUAAGUUGGGAGGAAGGGCAGUAAGUUAAUACCUUGCUGUUUUGACGUUACCAACAGAAUAAGCACCGGCUAACUUCGUG
rnacentral:rRNA from 1 species